CCAAAAAUCAGCUUUCACAGUCAUAUUUUGCACUUGCAGAUGAUAUUUCAUUUUUACCUAAAGUUAGUUUAGGUCACAAUAUACUAAAAGAUUUCCUACACAAAUUCAAUGUGAAAGCAAUAACUUUAACAAAAAAUAAAGUCAAACUUUUGCGCAUAGACAUCCCCAUAACCAUACCUUUUCUUAAAGAGCAUUCCAAGCCGCAAUGAUUUAAACAAUAAAAAUGGGGGGUCAUACGUUAUGCAAGAAAGAAUUCGACGCGAAUCAGCGGUCACUGUUUUAUGGCCAUCUAUUAUCCGGCUUCGUACCAGUUGAGAAGGGUUUCCCGCCAUCUGUCAAAGUCUCAUGUAGUCUCCAACCUUCAAGCAAAAGAGUGCAUUUCUGUUAAACAUCAAUGUUUUCCCUACCACAUGCACAAAGAAACAUUCUAAAAUAAAGCCAUGGCAAGUGCCCCUACAGAGAAUUGUGUCUUCUUAUAAAUGAUGUUCAUGUUUUUAGAGAGUAUAGCAUUGCACUCCAAAAUAUUUUAGUAUAUUGUAACCUAAAGGAGAAAUUUAUUCUGAUUUAAAUGUGUUUUUCUUGCAUAUUAUUAUCUUCCUAUGCAUAUUGCAGCAAAAUAUUAAGUUUGGCUGGAUUAUCUGUCCAUUUGGCCAUUUUAUAUCAUAUUUUCACACGCGGGUGUUUUCGGUCCGAAGAAGGCAAUUUUAGGCCUGUUAAAGCUUAAAUGUCCCUUUAAGAUUUAAAGUUGUUGUGUUCAAUAUAUGCAACAAAAUACCAAAACAAACCAAAUGGACAGGCACGUGGGGCUUAUGCGGGGUGGGGAAAGAAUGAAUUUGUUAGAUAUUUUCACUCAAAGCAAUUUUGAUAAUGCCUUUUUUGUUCUUUUUUUUUUAAAUCACCCCAAAAAUGUCAAUUUCAAAGCAAAAAAAAUCCAAUUUCAUCACAGACAAUAAGCAAAUUGGUGAAAAUGAAAGAUCAAAGAUACUUUGAAGUGUAGAAAUCCAUAAGCUUCCAAUAACUUGUUGUUUCGCACCAAUAAAAGUGUAAAAUCUUGAAAGCGCCUUGUUGCUCGGAGCCAAUUUGUUUACCAGCUGCCAAUUAUAUAUUCUAGCAUAUAAUGUCAUGGGUGCCUUUAAACUGAAGAAGAUGGUCAAUAUUCACUGCCAGCUCUCAUUAAGAGGUUGAAGAGAAUACAAAAUUUCAUAUUUUGGGCACAAAAUAAGUACUUUUGACUAUUUUGAUGGUGGCAAUCUGGUCAAAAUGGCGCUUCAUAACCGAGCCAAAGACAAAAAUGCUCAUUUUUGGGGUUUAGAAUGGAAGGAAAGGUUAAAAUGAACAAGACACACACAUGUAGGAAAGCAUUAUAAGCUUAGAAAUGAGGUUUCAUGUUGUAACAGGGGCAGAAAGGCAGUUCAGAUCAAUGCAAGCUUCCUGGAAGGGGUUUCUGGUACUUCUUUUGGGGACACAGCUUCCCGCAGAAUUCUCAACACAACAAAUAUCAUUGAUCCAUGUCACCUUUGUAUGCAAAGACAAGCGAAUAAGGUCAAUACUUCCCUUAAAUCACUGAAUGAGAGAAGCAUGUACCAAAUAAAAAACAAAACUGGUUGCUGAAAUGCCAAA